rnacentral:lncRNA from 1 species
CUAGGCCUUCACAUUCAUUCACCACUCACUCAUCCAGAGCAACUACCAGUCCUGUAAGCUCCAAUUAUGGAGUGGUGAGGUGACAAGAAGGAGUGGCUCAUUUGCAUGAUCUCCGGCUGCAAUGGCAACCACACUCAAGUGGGAGUCCUGACUCUUCCACUGACUGCCUGUGUGACCCUGGGGAAGGUACUUAGCCUCUCUGAGUUGCUGGAUUCUCAUCUCUAAAACUGGAUUUUAAAAAAUCUGCUAUCAACCUCACCUAUGCUGGCUAGAAAAAGGCAGCAUAUUUCUCACCUAUGCUGCAACCUCACCUAUGCUGCAACCUCACCUAUGCUGCAACCUCACCUAUGCUGGCUAGAAAAAGGCAGCAUGAUUUUCAAACUUAGAAGAAAUCUUAUGUAGAAUUUAAGCACACAGAAACAUGCAGAAACUUAUAGGUUAAAAAAAAAAAGAGGGAAAAUACAUUGAUAAAUAAAUUGGGGUGAAGGAGCAGACCAAAGGUGGUCCUUGCAGUGAGAGAUGAUUGUACAUAGCCCUGCUGGAAUGUGGCAGGAGCUUGGCUGCAAUGUGGCCAGGGGAGCCAUUUCCACUGCUCCUGAGGGUGGGGCAGGAUGAGCGAGAAGAGAGGCUGAGUAAGGGUGGAAGAGAAGAGCCCAUGAAGGUUGGGGAGAAACACUCACCGUGUGUCAGGAACUAAGAAGCUUUUUAACUUGCUGGCAAUAAGGUGUGGAUGUGGUCUCUUUUCAGGACCUCAGUGUUUUCAGUAAGUUCAGCUGUUGGUGUGAUGGACCAGGCAAGUAUGUGUGAUUAUUUAUUGGCUUAUUUCUUUAUUUAUUAUGUGGAAAAGGGGAGUUUCCAUCGACUCAAUGUGAGGUGGUGAUGGCCCCCCUCAAUGUGAAGUGGUGAUGGCCCCAGGAUCCCACAGCAGGGGAAGCUCUGGGAAUUCCCAGAACCUGGGAGGAGCUGCUGGCUUCACCAAGCUGUGCAGCUGGGGGCUUGAGAUGCCUCAGCUGGAUGUCUUGAAAGGGUGUUGCUCCGCCUGGCCAUGGGCAGAUGGGGUUCGUGAGCUCCCCGGGACGUCGUCUGUCACUUUCUCCAGCAACUCCGGCUUCUUUGGAGUUGACAGCUGGCCUGGCCGUGGCAAACGCUCCCGUGCCUGAGGCCAAGUCCCUCUCAUUGCCAUCCCUGCUUGGAUGGAUUCCUAUGGCUGCAGUGGGAGGGGGUGCAGGAUGGCUAACGAGACCAUGGAGAACUCCUGUCCUCUACAUGGAGGGACAGGCCUCUCUCCACAGACUCCAGGGCCUGGGAGCGAGACCUGGAAGGCCAGAGGUCCCAGCUGGAGUGUGCAGGUGUGUGCAUGUGCAUGACCUGUAUCUGCUGGGGAGUGAGUUGAGAAUUACAGGUGUCCCUCUUUCAAGAAGUUCAGUUUCCUCAUCCUCUCCUCUGAAUCCCUCAGGGAGAGAGAAAAUACCCGGCCUCCUUUCCUGGUGCUGGAAUUCUCUCCCACUCAGGGCUUCCUAGAUCUGGUCCCCAGAUGCCUCUUGGAAUAUCUUAGUGGGAAAAUGUAUGAUGAAUGUCCCCAGGCCUGGAAGAACUGUGGAGCCUCAGAGCCACAGGUGAGAGGCAGCCUGAUUCUGAGACAGGCCAUAGACUUCGGAAACAUCCUGCCCAGGGGUCAGUCCCAGCUCCAACUCUCACUUGCUCUGUGACCUUGGGCAUGUCACUUAACGUCUCUCAGUUCUUGUUUCCUCCUCUGUAAAAACCUGAUAGGUUGUGACGAUGAAAUUAACACGUGACAAAAUGCCCUGUGAAUUGCAGGUCCUGAAAUGCUGGUUUUGUAUCUGUUGCAGGUUAGGUUCUCAGGGAAGUAAAUCUGAGACAGAGUUUAACACUCUGGUAGAGUUAAUUAGGGAGCGCCCUUGGGAUCAACAGCAGUGAGAAGGAGGGAAGGAGUCUGCUGCAGUGGGCAGAAGGGGAGGUUAUCUGUGAGGCAGGCCCAAUCACAGCCUUGCUUGAUUCCCAGGGAGCUCUGGAGCCAAAAUGGUCUCUUGCACCCUGUGCUGGACCUCCCCAUGACAACACCUGGGUUCAGUGAUUAGCUAAGAGGACUCACAGGACUCAGCAUAUAGUGGCACUCAUGGCCGUGACUUGUUACAGUCAGAGGAUACAAAAUGAAGUCAGCAAAGGGAAAAGUCACAAGAGAAGUCCAGAGGAAACCAGGCACUAACUCCCGGGAGUGCUCUCCGAGCGGAGUCACGCAGGAAAGCAUCAUUCCUCCAGCAACAAGCUGUGCCUGCACGUGUCGAAUGUUGCCAGUUCACUAGAGACUCAGGGCUUAGGGCUUUUGUCAGGACAGCGAAGGGCCAGGAACACAGGCACCCUCUGCCUGCCAUGUACCUAAAUUCCAGGCUCCCAGAAGGAAAGCAGGUGCUCAGCACACGUGGUAUUGUCUGGACAGUAUAGGCACAGUGAGACAUUCUUAUCAGGGAAUGGUGGGAAACCUCCCCAAAUCCAGGUUCCCAGAUGCCAGCCAAGGGCCAACCUGGCCAGCAGGACUUUCUAAGGAGAGCAGUCUCAUGUGGCUUUGCUAACACGUUUCUGCACAGUCCUCCACCUUGAUCAUUGGUCACUGGAUGUGGUCCUCCUUGGGGAGAGGUGUGACCUUGUGUGUGGCUGCCCAGUACAGCUGAGGCCAUCCCUGCAGGGGCUGACCACAAAGCUGCCUGCUCCCAGCUCUGCCAGCAAGAUCUUCCUCUAAGGGGGACUCUGCAUUUAAGUCUGCACCCCAGGCAGAGAUGAAUAUGGCUGUAGAAUGACAAGGAUCCCUGCUGUUGGAAAUCUGGCCACUCUAGGCCAUAUCACCUCCUGUGGACCCUGGAAAACUAAGCCACAAGGAAGCCACCUGAGAGGGGAGGGAAUCUCUGACAUUGUUCAUCCAUGAAUCAUUUACAGAAUGUGCAUAGGGCAGAGAGCUUGAUGUUCAGAGUGGACAGUAAGAUAGUGCUAGGGAGACAGCUUGUUGGUAAACACAGAUAAUUGUACUGGAGGAUAAUAGACUGAGAGGGAAGACAUAUUUGCUGAAUUGAAUUGAUCCCAUUGACCACCUUCCCCACUCUUAGUGCUGUGGGUUUAGAACCACAAAUGGGACUUGAUUUCUGCCCUUUGGUGCUCACUGGGCAGGCAGGGAGGGUGAGCUGUAAUCAGAAAGAUGUGAUGAUUGGAAAAAGUCAACCAGGGAGCAGGAGGUGGGGAGGGCCUGGGAGACCCCAUGUCUAGUGGGAAUGGACUGAGAGUUAACCAAGUGGACAAGGAGAGAAAGGGGAUUUCAGAAAUGGCCAACACAACAGACCUUCGGUAACUUGAAGCCCACGGAAACUGUGAUCCCCAGUGUCGCUCUUUUAAGUAGUUUCUUCUAGAUCAGGAAAAUUUCCUGGAGUCAUAGAAUCUCAAAUUAGAGAGAAACUUAAAAGACCCCUUAGCUGAGUGUGCAAGUCAUUGGAAAGUAUCUACUUGCACCACUCUGAUGACAGGGAGCUCACUACCUACUGAGACCAUGCAUUUGUGUGGGUCACUCAACAUGUUAGCAAAGUCUUCUGCAGAGCUGGAAUCGAUUUUCUCAUUUCUCCCACUCAUCGAUCCUGAUUUUAUUCUUUGGAUUAACCAAGAACAAGGGUAACUUUUUAUGGAAUCAAGAGGGUCUGUAGGUUUCCUAUUGUUCUCUAAGCAGCUAGUCCUUCUGUCCAGUCUCAUGAAGCAAGGCAGAGGCUGAGCUGUUCUGCAGGGAGAUUCUAUGAUAUAAUGAAGAGAUGCAGAUUGAGACUCUGGAGCUAGAUCGCCCGCACUGGAGUCUCACCUAUGCCCCUUACUGUAUGACCUUGGCAGGUAACCUCUCUGUGCCUCAGUUUCUUCAUUGGCACAAUGAGGGUAAGCAUGGUAACCUACGUGAUUGGGUGAUGGUGAGGAUUAAUUGACUUAAUACUUGGGAAGUGCUCAGAACAGUGCCAGCAUAUAGCUGGUACUCAGCAAUGUAAGAGCUUCGGUUACUAUUAAGAAACAACUUUAAUUGCCUCCAGGACAAGUGCCACAGACCUACUACCUAAAAUGAGAUGGAAAUGGCCUACGUGGAUGGAUGAGGAUGGGGCUUUUACUUGUGAAUCAAAGCCGCCAACCUCAUUCAUACGUAUUGUCUCCACUAUUAUCCCUGCUUUUGUAACCUGUAUGUCAGCCACUUGGCUGUCCCCACGCUCUCCUGUCAUGGAGUCACCCUUUCCUAUUUAAUAAAAGUGCUGCACGUCCCCAUUUCAUGAAUAACGGGAAACUUACAGCCUGAUCCCCUCUACCACUGAGGCCCUAAAGCAACCACAGCUUUACGCUGUCACAUGUUCUGCUGAUGACAGGUGGAUCAUGGAGUGUAUAUUUGUGUUAUGGCAUGGCAGAGGGAACUUCAAAUUAAAUGUCACUCAUUGGUCCCUAAAGAUCCUGGCCACACCUUCCUUGGGAAAAUUUCCCCCAGGCGUCUGGAUCUCCCAGCUCCUCACUCUCCCUGGACCUCACAUUUCUCCCUUUCUUUGUUUUCUCGGCCCUUCUACCUCUCUCCCGUGGGCUGCCCUCCUGAAGCUCAGGUUUCCUUCGCUGUCUUUAGCAGAGCAGCUUUUAGCUCUCCACAUCUACUACUUGGGCUGGGACCCAUUUUUGUACAUCAAAAUCACAGGCUGGACCCAGCAGAGGCCUGACCUGCCAAUCUUCCCUUUACAAUGAUCAGUUUCUCCAGUGCGGCCACCCUCCCCCACCAGACUCCGCCAGUGAAAGGCAUCUGGGCCACGAUGUAGUCUUUCUCUGAUAUAAAUUAUUCCACAUCCCUGCCCCCUUUAAAGGCAGAUGGAGUUACUGUCUUUUACUUUUUAAAGCAAUUUAAAAUCUUGCCUGCUAAGCCUGGAAGGUCUUCUUUUCUUCUCCCUGGCUCCUCAAAUUCUGCCUGUCUCCCUCUAGGAAUGAGCUCAGAAUCUUCCUCCUCUAGGCAGCUUCCCUGAUCGAGUGGCUUUGAAUCUUGUGGCAAGGCCCCCAUUUGGCCAUGACCUACCUGCCACCUGAAGUUAAUAUCAUUCCCAAGCUUUGUUGCCCCAAUUAUUGUAGAAUGCCCUUUCCCAGAAGUCUCAGGAGACUUAAAGUUCGCUGGAGGGUGGCCUGGGUGCAGGAGGAGCAAGGCAUCAGAGAGGCCUGCAUUUAUUCCUGCCUUCCCCGUCCGCUGGCUGUGUGGCCCUCCCUCAGUUACUUAACUUCUCUGAACUCAGUGUUCCCAUCUGGAAAAGGGGGAAAGAAUGCCUGCAUCACACCAUUGCUGUGAGAAUUAAAAGAGGUCAAGUGUGUCAAAUGCCCCGCAGAGUCUGGUACAUGGGAGGGGCUUGAUCAAUGUUGAAUUCUUUCCUUCCUCUAGAAGAACCCACAGGAUAAAGGGGCAGGGAGAACAGGAAACUGGCUUCAGAUGGUGCCCUAGGGGGACUAAAAACUGAAGGGAAGAUGUGCUUACUGAAAAAAUGGGGUGGUUGGGUAAAUGGGUGAGAAUAAGACACACUGGAUCCGGAAGGCCACGUGACAAAGCCUGUGGGGCCCCUGCAGGGAGCUGAAUGCGGCAGAAAAGACCGCAGCUGGCUUCCUUUCUUCUUUGUGGCCCAAAUUGAAGAGGACACUGGAUUCCUCUGAUGGAGUUCUGCUCCCUAGAGCUGAUGCUGCAGAUGCUGCUCUCAGGGUCCUUGGGCUUGCCCCCAGCCAAUGGGAAAGAGAGGUCAAGACUGUGCUCAGCUUGGUGGACCUGAGACAUCGAGGAUCCUUCUGAAAGGAUGGCCUGAGGCUUGGAGCGUCAGAGGAAGUCUGGGGCCAACUCUGCCUCUCUGAGCUUCAGUUUUCUCUUCUCUGCAACAAGAGCAUUGGGCUGUAUAAUCCCUAGAAGGAGACCCUUCUGCUCAGGGAAGGGUCCUGCUUGGACUAUUGCAGUAGCCUCCAAGUAGCUUGAACUUUGCUCAGACUCUCCCCUCCCCAAUCUGCUAAGCAGAUUGUUGACAAGAUUCUCUGCAGUUUGCUGCUUUGAUGAUGUCCCUCUCCAGCUCCAAAUUGUUACUGGCUCUCCAUUGACUACAGGUAAAAUGCAGACUUCUCAGCCUGAUCUUCCACAAUCUGACGUCAGCCUACCUCCUCAUCCUGCCUGGGCCUGGAGGCAUGCCAGCCAAUUCAGACCACUUGCCAUUUUUCUUUUUCUCCUCUGCAUCUGGAAUUGCUGUCAGUGAAACCUUCUCUUUCCCUCAAGGAGCACCUUGAAUGCUGGCCCCACAUCACCUUCCUGACCCUGUCAGCUCAAAGAGGUUUCUCUGCAUCUGAACUCCAUGUGUUCCAGUCUCUGGGUCCUUACCAUGCACUGCUGGGGCAUGCUGUGUGCUGGCCGCCGUCCCUCCUCAUGCUCAGAAGCAGAGCCUAUGACUUAGUCACUUUGGUCUCCCCAGCGCCCAGAGCAGAUAUUUGCACAGAAGAGGAGCUCAAUAAAUGUUUGUUUAAUGAAUGAAUAUAUAAUUCUAACCCAGUGCCCUGCUUUCUUACAGUGACAUUCAAGUCAUCCUAGGCCAAAAAAAAAAAAAAAUGCCUAUUUACCUUCCAAAAUUACCUCUCAUAUUGGUCAAAAUUAAAAUAAACACUUGGCGGAUUAAGACCUGGCCUGUCAUAUUGUAUCUGACACCAUUAAGAACCAAGGUUGGGGUGCCUCACGGUUGACUUCCACUGAUCUAAGAUGU